UCGCUUGAACUCUUGCCCUGAUUUUGGGAGAGUUAUUUUGGUAGAGAAAUAAAAUAAGUGUGCUGGAAAUCUGAAAUUUAAAAAAAAAACCUAAAUAUUUCGAGGUAUUGCAUUCGCCACGGUGUUUGUUGCCAGGCUUCAGUUUGUGUAGGAAAGCAGGAACCCUGAGUUUCACUUUCUUUAGCUAUCCUAAAAUGGCGAAACAAUGAAGUCAGCUUCUGCCAAGUUUAGCAGCCUCGCUCAUGUCAUUUCGGGAAAAUCACUGAUCGUCCUCGUUCUGGUCUCAGUCACAAAGAUGCGUAGAAGUUCCAGACAUGUAGAAUCCUCCUCCCCGGGUAAGGGCAGCAGGAUUUGUGAGAGAAAGGAACACACCCGGGCUACAGUGAGUUCCACACCUCAGGUCAGAAUCAACCAAGAGACCAGUCCCGGCUCCAGGAACCCAAGUAACUCUAUACGCUGGGACUGCACCCCGUCACCGUCGGUCCAGAGACACUUGGGUAGCUGGGACACAACGCAGAGAGACUACACCAAUCAAGCCUGGAGGAGUAGGGUGAUUAAUGAAGGAGUACCAUGCCUUAGAGUUAACAAAGGACCAGAUUUUUUAAACACUGACCCUUCCGAAAAGAAUCCAAGUUCUAUGUAUUCGGUAACGACAAGUGAACUAAAUGUCCAAGCAAUCUCUGAUGUACCAAAGGAAAGAAAAUUCAAAAAAGAUGCAAGGCUGUAUUCUUCUGGAAAUACAAUGCAGGCUCAUGUAACAGGUUGCAGUAACCAAAACACCGAUCUAGACUGUGAACAAAGGACAUAUAAAAAAUAUUAUAGUCAUCAAGUGUUUGUGGGACUCACCAAUUCAGGCAACAGCUGCUGUGUGAAUGUCCUACUGCAGACCUUGUUUAUGACUCCAGACUACAAAGUCUUACUUUUGAAGUGUCAACAGAAAGGCAUUCUGAUAAAAGCCAGUUACCACAUCCCAUACCAGCUUAACAAAGUGUUCAAGAACCUCAAUUCCAGGACCCAAAGAACUGUGUCACCUGAUAAUUUUAUUCAGUGCUUGAUGUUAAACCAUAUUAAUGUGGAGAUUCAGCUGGACGCUGAAGAGCUCUUUCGUUCCCUCUUUCUUCUGUUACUAGAUCAGUUGAAGGAGACAGAUUUUAUCAAAUAUGUUAAUGAUCUCCAUAUGGUAAUCACUGAGGAAUGUAAUAGGUGUUUAAAAUGCCAACAUGAAUUCAUGCAGAUUGGAAACAUGCUGACUAUUCCUCUUUCGCUUUACAACCCUUCAUCAAGGGAAUGUUACAAGAGUAUAGAGAAUUCCCUCAAAAGCUUCUUUAAAUGCCAACGCUUAGAUGGUGAUAACAAGAGCCACUGUGACAAAUGUGGGGAAAAGACAGCAACACUGCAGAGCUACAGAGUGUAUUCUUAUCCACAAAUCCUAUGCCUACAGUUAAAACGCUUUGACCUUGCACCAAACAUGAGAAAAGCAGUCAAAAGCAAUGAUUUUAUGGAAUUUCAAGAUGAGCUAUAUUCUGAAAGUUUCAAUGAAGGACAUGACAGCCAAAGGAACAAAUGGCAAUACAAACUCCUGUCUGUGAUUGUGCACAAGGGCAGUGCAGCUUUUGGGCAUUAUUAUGCUUAUAUAAGGGACUUUCAAGAAAUGAACUGGUAUCAAUUCGAUGAUGAACAUGUUCUGAGUGCAACAUGGGAAGACGUUACAAAGACAUUUGGAUCAUUGAACAGCUCUUCACUUGAUCAAAAUGAAUUUCACAUGAACAAGCUCAGCUGCUUUCAAACAAACACAGCCUGUGUGUUUUGUUCAGUUAUCUGUAUGACAACUAGCUAUUUUCAAAGUAAUCCAGGACACAUUCGUAAUCAUAACUGUUUUGGGGGAUAUUAAAGAAACUGCAGCUUUUCGCAUCAAGAAAAGUCACUUCUGAACUUCCAGAAAUGUUGUUCAGACAAGACAGCUGCUGCACUGGGAGGGAACAGCUUAUCUUCUUUUUUACAAGAGAAUGGAUUGAUCAUUUCAGGAAUGCAGACCUUGCUGUCCAUCAACACCCUUCUUCAUUCUUCUUUGAAUUGUGGCUUUAUAGUUUUACAAUAGAUCUUCAGUCUUUAUUUUCAAUGAAAUGUUUUAUCUGUUUGUAUACAUUAAUAUUUUCUUAUUAAUUCAUGAAUGUACAGGUGAAAAUGAGAUCAAAUCAGAAUGCUAAUCAAAAUACAAAAUGUUUUCUAAUUUUGAAGAAAUGGUUCAUUAAAAAUAAUUUGCAUUAACCAAAGAGUUGGAAAAAUGCCAAUGAAACUGUAAUGACUGUAGCUUUAAGACUUAUUUUACUGUGUAGUAUCACAUGAUAGUGUGAACGAAUCAGCUCUAAGCAAGGGGAACCUUAAGGGGCGGAGUUUUUGACUAAGUGUGGAUCUUGAUGGAAACCUGUAAUUGCUGCUGAAGCCCUGUAAAUAAAGUUGACUGAUUCUUAUGAGAAACCUGUCUGGAAAAUCAAGUCCACAACAGAAACAAUUCAGAGCAAGCUGAUUCUCAAAUUCUUUUUUCCAAAUUUAAAUUGUGACUGUAAUGUAACUUGAAAAUGUAAAAGGAACAUUCAAAAUUUACAAGACUUUUAGUUGCCUUUAAUAAUAAAAACCAUUCUGAAUUGA